rnacentral:rRNA from 1 species
AUACGUAGGGUGCGAGCGUUAAUCGGAAUUACUGGGCGUAAAGCGUGCGCAGGCGGUUUUGUAAGACAGGCGUGAAAUCCCCGGGCUCAACCUGGGAAUGGCGCUUGUGACUGCAAGGCUAGAGUGCGUCAGAGGGGGGUAGAAUUCCACGUGUAGCAGUGAAAUGCGUAGAGAUGUGGAGGAAUACCGAUGGCGAAGGCAGCCCCCUGGGACGAGACUGACGCUCAUGCACGAAAGCGUGGGGAGCAAACAGGAGUAGAUACCCCGGUAGUCC